rnacentral:lncRNA from 1 species
AGGAUGGAAAAUGAAAAAUAUUUUUUAGUCAUUUGACACAUUCUUUCUAACUCACAUUCUUUCUAACUCACUUUUUUUUUUUUUUUUUUUUUUUUGUUCCUGAAGGUACUAUUGAAAGGCUCUGUGUAACUGCUGGUAUUGGCUGUUACUGGGAUGAAGCAGGGAAAGAACUAUAACUUGUUCUUGGACAUCAUUCAGAAGCUGCAACGUAGCCUGGAGGCCUCUAAUCCAGUCCUGCAAGGAGCUUGCUCUGAAAUGCAGUCCACACCCUUGCAGAGACAUUUAUCACAGUAA